UGGGGAAUUUUGGACAAUGGGCGAAAGCCUGAUCCAGCAAUGCCGCGUGUGUGAAGAAGGCCUUCGGGUUGUAAAGCACUUUUGUCCGGAAAGAAAUCCUUGGCUCUAAUACAGUCGGGGGAUGACGUACCGGAAGAAUAAGCACCGGCUAACUACGUGCCAGCAGCCGCGGUAAUACGUAGGGUGCAAGCGUUAAUCGGAAUUACUGGGCGUAAAGCGUGCGCAGGCGGUUUGCUAAGACCGAUGUGAAAUCCCCGGGCUCAACCUGGGAACUGCAUUGGUGACUGGCAGGCUAGAGUAUGGCAGAGGGGGGUAGAAUUCCACGUGUAGCAGUGAAAUGCGUAGAGAUGUGGAGGAAUACCGAUGGCGAAGGCAGCCCCCUGGGCCAAUACUGACGCUCAUGCACGAAAGCGUGGGGAGCAAACAGGAUUAGAUACCCUGGUAGUCCACGCCCUAAAACGAUGUCAACUAGUUGUUGGGGAUUCAUUUCCUUAGUAACGUAGCUAACGCGUGAAGUUGACCGCCUGGGGAGUACGGUCGCAAGAUUAAAACUCAAAGGAAUUGACGGGGUCAUAGCUGUUUCCU
rnacentral:rRNA from 1 species